rnacentral:rRNA from 1 species
UCCUACGGGAGGCAGCAGUGGGGAAUUUUGCGCAAUGGGCUAACGCCUGACGCAGCAACGCCGCGUGGAGGAUGAAGGUCUUUGGAUUGUAAACUCCUGUCGACCGGGAAAAAGCAACUCGACCUAACACGUCGGGGAGUUGAUUGUACCGGUGGAGGAAGCCCCGGCUAACUCUGUGCCAGCAGCCGCGGUAAUACAGAGGGGGCAAGCGUUAUUCGGAAUUAUUGGGCGUAAAGGGCGCGUAGGCGGCUUGGCAAGUGGAAGGUGAAAUCCCUCGGCUUAACCGAGGAACUGCCCUCCAAACUGCUUUGCUUGAGGCCGGGAGAGGCGAGUGGAAUUCCCAGUGUAGCGGUGAAAUGCGUAGAUAUUGGGAGGAACACCAGUGGCGAAGGCGGCUCGCUGGACCGGUUCUGACGCUGAGGCGCGAAAGCGUGGGGAGCAAACGGGAUUAGAUACCCCUGUAGUCC